ACAAAUUAAAAACUAAAAAAAAAUAUAUAUAUAUAUGUAUGUACCAUAUAUAUAUGUACUAUAUACAUAAAUAUAAGACAAGUAACAGACCUUCAAUAAGUACCAACACAAUAUUUUGAUGAAUGAUAUCUCCGAUUUUGGUUUCCGUGUGCUAAUACAAUGAUAUCGGCAGAGAAUUUAUACCCGGCUUGACAUACACACAACUGGAUAUUACUCGGACUGUAAGUUGACUAAUAUAUACACGUACAAGUUCAGAAACGCAAACAUGGAUUUUGAUUAGGACGAUGGCGAGUUCGUUGCUUAUCUUUAAUCUACCAUCUCACAUUUAUGCAUGAGUUCUUGGCUAUUAUACGAACGCCUGGGAAUCAUCUCGAUCUAUCUUUAUUCCAAGGCUUCAAUGAUUCAAUAAUGCUACACUGUCAUCUGUUUCACUUGUUUACGCUCAGUGGCUUCUUUCGAAAACUGAACUGGAAUAGUUUUCUGGUAUAAAAUUUAUUGUUUGUUCGGAUGGUGGAGUUGUAAAUUCUGGUAUCAAUUAUAUAAUAAAUGACCUUUGGCUCUAAAAAA